GACGAACGCUGGCGGCGUGCUUAACACAUGCAAGUCGAACGGAGUGGCGAACGGGUGAGUAACACGUGGGUGAUCUGCCUUGCACUUCGGGAUAAGCUUGGGAAACUGGGUCUAAUACCGGAUAGUGCAAGAUGAGCUCGCGGCCUAUCAGCUUGUUGGUGGGGUAAUGGCCGACCAAGGCGUCGCCGGGUAGCCGGCCUGAGAGGGUGUACGGCGUCAUUGGGACUGCGAUACGUCGCAGAGUCGUACGGGGGGCAGUGGUGGGGAAUAUUGCACAAUGGGCGGAAGCCUGAGGCAGCGACGCUGGGUGGGGGAUGAAGGCCUUCGGGUUGUAAACUCCUGUCGACAGGGACGCGGUACCUGUAUAAGAAGCACCGGCUAACUACGUGCCAGCAGCCGCGGUAAUAC
rnacentral:rRNA from 1 species